AGCUCCUCUCUUCUCCCGUCCUCUCCUCACCUCACUCCAUCUCGCUGAUAGUGUGCGCACAUUCUCUCAAGUUGAGCCCAGCGACGCGUCACUCGCACAGCAAGCGGAGUGAAGCGGUUAAUGGAUAGACAGGAGGAAGAGAUAAAACAAGGAGAGAGGACGGAACACUGUUUGGAUUUUCUUGAAGACAUUCGAUUUCAAGUGUCAGAGUUUUGCCUUCACUUGUAGUUUCAAAAUCGUUUCGGACGUGGACUUUUUAAGAUAAACAUUUGGUUCGGCUUGGCUUUAAACUUUGCUGGAAAAAGUGCGAUGAAGUCGGUCAUAGCUUACCCAAGCUCUAACCGUCCCAUUUGGAUACUUGAAGCAUAAGAGCGCACCGGUUGAAAAGCCCAGCGUUUGGAAAAAAUAGUUUUGAGUCACUCGAAUUUUGGUUCUUUGUUUUUUAAAUUUCUUUGAUUUGCGUUUUUGUUUGCUAGAGAUGAUUAAACGAGCGAACAGUAUGCACAGGAAAUAUCAUUCGGGAAUUUCUUUUUAUUUCCAACUACUAAAGGAUUUAUAGUUUUUCUCCGAAAGCUCAGCAGCGUGCUGUUUGUUCGGACAAUCAGAAGUGGAGAGCGCAGAUCGGUCAGGAUGAGAGCGUUUAUGGCACCGACGCGACAGUGAUCCGAAAGUUGGAACAAGACAGAAAUAGUACAAGCUGAGAGAAGAAGAAUAAACGAGACUCCCCGUUUGUCCAUUUUGCGAACAUUCCCAUUGGCCUUCACCCGUCAGGAAGGUAUGGAGACGGUCUGGAGAGGGACAGGCGCGCGGGUGGGAUGUUGCCACUGGAAGACCGUUUUAAUUCUCGUGCUGUGGAAAGUGUCUGACAGCUCGUUAGGAGCAGCAGGGGGUGGACCGGGCGCAGGGCCGGACUUUUCCCAGCCUCGUUUCUCCUCUUCCCUCCCGACCUAUCUCCCAGUCCAAUGCCAGCUAAGCGGCACUGACUCUGCCUUCUUUCUGCGGGAAGCUAAUCAGGAGGUCAUGCGAAAUGGCAGCCUGUCAUCACGGACUGAGCCAUUCUUUCUUCACCAGCUGGAGCCAGGCGUUACACCACAGUCUCAGCCGAGUGUCAAUUGCAGCUAUGGGAAUCUGAGCAUUGAGCAAAUGAUCCCAACGGAGCUUCUUCGAGGUCCUCAGCCACAUUUGCUGACCUCAGUCAGUCAGGUGACGAUGAACUGGAGGAUCAAAGGUCAAGUGGUGGUCCCUAAAGUGGGGUCAACAAGACCAUGGAUUCAGGUACUAUUUUAUCUGAUUGGACGCCGCUGGGAUGAGCCUGACCCGCUUCCUGGAUCCAUUCUCCCAUGUGUCCGUGCCUUGGCAGUACGUGACACCAAUGAACCAGCGCCUUCAGCAGGUUGCCGUCUCACGGGGCCAUCUGGCAUCUGUGUGGUCCGUCUGGAGAUUCCACCAGCUUGGUUUACACCAUCACAAGUGAAAAAAAGACCUCCCGAAGUCUCUCUACCAUCAGUGGAUGUGUACUACUCAAUCAUACCAGUGGAAGGGGCUGGUCAAGACUGCCCAUCCAUUGUAAAUGAGCCAUGGAAAGCUCAGAGUUCAAAUGUCGGACCUCUUGGAGGUCUGGGGAUUGGUCUUGGAGGACAGUGGGGUACUUUGGACGAUGGAGGCCUUCAGGACAUGAUGAAAGCUGGUACUGUGGAGAUGAGCAUCGGCCCAGUUUCUGCUAAGGGAGAAAGACUGCAAUUAGAUGAGAACCUGGAGGUACUUGUACCACCAAGUCCACUUCGACUUGGCAAAACAGUGGCAUUUGGCAUAUACAUGAAGACAGAUUCAAACCUGGAACACUUCACAUUGAGGGUGAGGUUCCAGCCAGGCAUCAACUUCCUCGCUGUGAAACCCAGCAACCUCGUUGCGUGGGAGAUCAAACAGGAAAUGGCACCGGGAAGCAGUUCUUUGGCAGUGGAUUGUCAAAGAAAGGCCUCCUCCACAGCUGAGAGAUUGAACAGUCACUCGUAUGAGGUAAUGCAGCUGGACUUUGAGGUUGACAACGUGAUUAAUCUGAAGCCAACCCAGACUUUGCGCUGGACUGUGGAAUACUCCGCUAACACACAGACGGCUUUGAAGCAAACAGAGCAAGUUUCCCACCUCUACAUUAGCAAUUCCGACAUCCAGGGCAUUGUGCCACUGGCAGAGGACACAGAGGUGGUGAACACAGCCAUUCUUACAGGUAGACGUGUAGCAGUGCCCAUUAAAGUGGUUACGGUGGAAACAGAUGGGCAGGUGAGGGAGGUGGACGAGCCGAUCACCUGCGCCUCCACAGAUGUGGAUGUGGUUAAGGUUUCCUUAAACUGCGACCAGGUUCUGGUGAAUGGCAAAGAAAUGCGAGGUAGACAGUCCCUGGCAGUAAACUUCACCUACCUCCACCUGUCUGCUCAGCUGCUGCUCACUGUCUGGGUUCCCAAGCUACCCCUGCAGAUAGAUGUGUCAGAUACUGAGCUGAGCCAGGUCAAAGGCUGGAGGGUGCCGAUCACCACCAACAAGAGACCCACCAGAGACAGCGAGGACGAUGAAGAUGAUGACAGAAAGGGUAAAGGCUGCACCCUACAGUACCAGUAUGCUUUGGUUCGAGUUCUCACUCAUUUUGUUGCUGAACCAUCUGACCCUAGAGGGGAGAUGGUUUACAUGUUGGGUACUGACUGGCAAGCUGAUAUCACUCCUUUGGUCUUGGAACAAUUGAAGGUCGAAGAGCCACGCAUUGCUAGACUUGUAGAUGGGCAUAUUUUAAUGGGACGUGACCUAGGCAUUACUACUAUACAAGUCUUGUCCCCUUUGUCUGAUUCUAUACUGGCAGAGAAGACUGUGACAGUCCUGGAUGACAAGGUAACAAUAACAGACCUGGGAGUCCAGCUGGUUGCAUCCUUGUCUCUCAGUAUGACAGCAAGUCCUGGAAAUUACCAAGCAAUACAGCUAACAACUACAGCUACAGAUCUGCUUCACACACCUAAACAGGAAGCUGUGGUUAGUGCAUGGAUUCAUUACAGUGAUGGCUCAGUGACACCUCUUGAUAUCUAUGAUCCCAAGGACUUCCUCCUCUCAGCUGUCUCACUGGAUGAGAAUGUCAUCUCUGUAACCAAUCAGGAGCAACACUGGCCAAUUAUAGUAGCUGAGGGUGAUGGACAGGGUCCACUGUUUCGUGUGGAAAUGGUCAUUUCUGAAACUUGCCAGAAGUCCAAGAGGAAGAGUGUGCUGGCAUCUGGAGUUGGUAAUGUGGUCGUUAAGUUUGGAGCAAACAGCGAUGAGAGAGGUGGAGCGGAGGAUGGUGGAGGGUUAGAAAACAGCACCAGUGAACAACGGACAAAUGGAGGGGAAUGGAAUUCCAAGAGUGUGGCUGUGGACCGAGAGGAAGGAGCCAUGAGGAAGGUUAGCACAACAACUAAAAGCACAGUAACCCACCGUGCUUCAGGUGGAAGAGCCACUGGUGGUGGUCGGGGAGGGUCAGGUCAAGGCGGGGACUAUAGUAAGAACCCAGUACAAGUGGAAGUUCCAGGAACUGGGAAUGGUGAGCUGACCCAGACCACAAGAGGCCUGUCAGACCUGGAGAUUGGGAUGUAUGCUCUUCUGGGAGUAUUCUGUCUGGCCAUAAUGGUCUUCCUCAUCAACUGUGUCAGCUUUGCAUUCAGGUACCGCCACAAGCAGGUUCCUGUACUGGAAGCAGGCGGUAACAUGAACCAUGCUCAUGACUGGGUGUGGCUUGGCACUGAAGCUGACCUCUUAGCAGACCAUACUGACCAAUGCCAGGGCCUACCUGAUGAAUGCACCACCAUCAUAGACAGAAAUGAAGGAGGAUAUGAGGAGAGCAAGUACCUUCUGAAUGGUGCUGGGAACACUUUGGUGAUGGGUGUAGGUUCUGGCAUGGGCACAAUAAGUGGUGGGAGUGGCGGCACAGGUGGACUGCGGGGAAUGGCCCAUGGACAGACCUUGCCUAGGUCUAUCCCAGAACCCCAUCAGUGCCUUUCUGCAAUCACUACUGGUGGGAAAGACACCACUGGGCAAACAGAGCAUCUGAAUAAUUCCCCCAGAGCUGCAGCUGCAGUUGCUGCUGCCAAGCGUAAACGAGUCAAAUUUACAUCUUUUGCCACUGUUUUGCCCAACGAUAAUUCGGGUAGUGGUGGCCCGUAUGUCAACUCCUCAGUUCUUGUGACCAAUGGUAAUGAGGAUGACAUUAAGUGGGUGUGCCAGGAUAUGGACCUGGGUCAGUCUGAAAUCAGAACCUACAUGGAGAGGCUACAAGACAAUCUGUGACUGACCGGGAGAGAUACUGAGCAAUAGAGAGGCAAAGGAUGUGGGCUGGAGAAAAGAUGGACAUAGAGUACAAUUCACCUGUGAUGCCUUUGCAGUGGAUUAAUAAAGGGUCAAGUGAAGCGAAAAAUGUGCGCGCAGUGAACUGAAAAAUGGUGAUAACUUGAAGGUUUUGGACACACAGCUUAAGGGUUCCUAACCUUUGGCUCCCUUAAAGCAAAGCAGAGUAGAAAGUCAUCACUAGCUCACACUAAAAGUAACAGUAGCAAACAAUAAGUAACAUUCAGAGUUCGUUUUGUGUUACUUAUUGUGAAAAUCAUAGUGUAAAAAUCUGCAAUGGUCACUAUUGGUUAUGAGUGUUUACUUUCAGAAAACCAGUAAACCACUGUAUUCAUACAUUAUCGAUUCAGGGUAUGUUAAUGGACAAACUUUUGUAAGCCACUAUACAUUUGAACAAAGAUGUUGACAAACCUUUUUUUUUUUUUUUUUACUUAUUUAUUGCCAUUGUUGGCUAAGGCUGUUGAGUAAAUAUUCUGUUUUAAAAUAUAAGCAAUUUACCUGCCAGGACUCCUGAAUGGUUAACCAACCACUGAUACCGCAAAACAACAGAUGUUGACCUAUCGUUUCCCCGAUUUCAUUUUGUUAUUACUUAUGAGUAUAAUGCGAGUUAGAAAUAUAUAUAUAAAUAUAUUUCAAGUAUUCAACAGAAAAUUACCAAAUUUUUUAGUCAGCAGUCCAGAUAAAUCAGAUCUUUUUUCAGGAAAUCAUAUUCUUUCUACAAACCACAACUCUGAGAGAUUGAAAAGGACAAGUCCCAAGAAAGACUGUUUCAUCCUUGGAUCCAAGACAUACGUUUUUAUUCUUGCACAAUUAAAAAUAAGAAAGGACACUGGCCAUUUUUAAUGGGGCCUCAUUUCGUGAACCCUGCAGCCAGUGACUGUUCUCUCCCCAUCAGAAACAAUGGUGACGUCCCCUUGCCUCUCUCCUCGUCUGUGAUUAAGCAGAACUAGAACAAACUGUGGAACACAGUCAGAUACAUUCUGCAAACCAAAGGGUGGUGAAAUGAAAUGAAAAUGGCUUGGACUUUGCAAAACCUGGCUAAAAACUCAAUGAGAACUCUGAAUGAAGACAUCUAGCCAGGCUGGAAGAGACACUGUUUCUAUUUAUUUAAAAUUGACAUCUGGAGGGUGAGGAAGAAAAGGAAUACCAAGGACAGACAGCAAGUAAUGGAUAGUCUGCUGGUGAGUGAUAGCACAUGUAAAACAAUAAGUGGCAGAGAUUGGAAGACGGAGCAGGCAGAGGUUGCCUCACCUUCGUUAAGCUCAGGUGACCAGUCGUGAAGAAUUCGACUACAAAAAGGAGAACUGUAAGAUUGUUCAGAUUGCAAUAUUUAUUUAUAAAUGUGUUAUUGUUUCAGAGUACACUGUAUGUUGUAAAUAAAUAAACAUGCUUCAAAGUGCUUGUGAAUAAGAUUGGAGGUCACUAGCCAAUACCAUGGUGAUAUUUUGUACAUUUUAUGGUUCAAAUGACAGUACAGAAUACUACCUACAGUUUCACCACAAUGUGAAAGUGAUCCUACUGGUUCUUUUCUAAAGUUGUACCUGUCUUUGUUUGAAGUAUUGAAUUAAUGAAUGUACAGGAUAGAAAUCAGUUUUCUCCUAUAAUGAGAUGUAAAAAUGGAGGCAAUUCAUCAAAUCUUAUAGUUAAUGUCUCUUAAAAAUAAUGAGUCUGAGGAGUCCAAUUCAUUUAGAAAACCAAACCAAAUGUUACGAUGUUCAUCAGUGGGUACCGAGGGUCUCCAUUUUAUUAAUUUCAUAGGGAAUAAACAUUAUACUUAAACCUUAGUCACUGAAAUCACAGCCUAAACUAUUGGGUUUUAAAACGGCAACAACUGUGAAAAAAGUAAACUUAAUCAAAAAAUAACUUAAAUGAGCUGGGAAGCCUCUACCAAAGCAAUAAAUAUUUUUGACUGAUCACUAUCUUCUGGACACAUUACUGUAUCUAAAAAAAUGCCAAAAUAAAUACAAGUUUGCUGUAAUAAAAAAUGAGAAGUCGAACAAGUCUAAGUUGAUGGUUGCUAAUAGUUCCAUUUUUCUGAAGGAAAGACCUUUUUGACUACUAUGUUGUAAAAGUAAUGACACUUUCUAGCCUCCUUCUGUUUUGAGCUGUAAAAUUCUUUGGAUGUAAUCAACCAAAAAUUCAUGAGAUUUUUUUAGAUCAUAUUUUGAGGUUGUUUAAAUUUCAAAAAUGCAGAUAAAAUAUAAGUAACUUGAAAAGUCAGGGGGUGGGGGAUAAAGGUUGAUAAUUUGCCUAGGCCUCCUUCAUAUUAGAUGAAGACUGCUGAACAGUCUGUGGGACCUCCGUGACCAUUCCAGUGUGAAGGCAAUCAUGACACUGCUACACUCUUUUGUACUUGCAAAACAACUUUUUCUUGGUCUCUUUUUCCUUCUUCUCAUCGUUUUACCUCUUCAAUAAACAUAAUAUCCAGAUUUGUGUAUUCAAAUGUAUUUAGGCUGAAACUGGCAUCACUUUCUCCAUCUAAAAGUGAUUUGUAUUUAUGUGUUUUAAUGUCUAAAUGCUCCCUUGGUUGUCUGAGGCUGAAAAGUGAGUGUGUAUUGGUCUCAUUAGUCUGAUUAGUAAUACAGUGUUUUUACCAGGUGAAACACAUAAUCAUACGCUGGGAUUCUCAAUGUUUUUCAACGACAAUGUUAUGUGUAACUUUGAAAAAGGUCAAUGUUGUAUUGACCUUGUUUAUGUUUUUACAAAUACAUCAAAUUAAUUUGUUCCCCAUCUGCCUCAGAAAUAUUAUAAUCAGCACUGAAUCAGCUUUUAGUUAUGAGCAACUGUAAGAGGGUAAAGUUCUGGUUAGAAAUUAUGAUUUAUGCUGAAAAACAGAUAAUUAUGUAUGAAAACAAACUUAACUUUGAAUCUGAUACUGAGAGAAUGUCAUGUCGGUACACAGCUUGUAAAGCUCAAAUUAGCCAAGUUUCCCUUCCAGACCUCCAUCCAUCCAUCCAUUUUCUUUACACCCUUCUUCCCUAAAUGGGGUCGGGAGGGUUGCUGGUGCCUAUCCCCAGCUGCGUC